ACGAACGCUGGCGGCGUGCCUAAUACAUGCAAGUCGAACGAACUCUGGUAUUGAUUGGUGCUUGCAUCAUGAUUUACAUUUGAGUGAGUGGCGAACUGGUGAGUAACACGUGGGAAACCUGCCCAGAAGCGGGGGAUAACACCUGGAAACAGAUGCUAAUACCGCAUAACAACUUGGACCGCAUGGUCCGAGUUUGAAAGAUGGCUUCGGCUAUCACUUUUGGAUGGUCCCGCGGCGUAUUAGCUAGAUGGUGGGGUAACGGCUCACCAUGGCAAUGAUACGUAGCCGACCUGAGAGGGUAAUCGGCCACAUUGGGACUGAGACACGGCCCAAACUCCUACGGGAGGCAGCAGUAGGGAAUCUUCCACAAUGGACGAAAGUCUGAUGGAGCAACGCCGCGUGAGUGAAGAAGGGUUUCGGCUCGUAAAACUCUGUUGUUAAAGAAGAACAUAUCUGAGAGUAACUGUUCAGGUAUUGACGGUAUUUAACCAGAAAGCCACGGCUAACUACGUGCCAGCAGCCGCGGUAAUACGUAGGUGGCAAGCGUUGUCCGGAUUUAUUGGGCGUAAAGCGAGCGCAGGCGGUUUUUUAAGUCUGAUGUGAAAGCCUUCGGCUCAACCGAAGAAGUGCAUCGGAAACUGGGAAACUUGAGUGCAGAAGAGGACAGUGGAACUCCAUGUGUAGCGGUGAAAUGCGUAGAUAUAUGGAAGAACACCAGUGGCGAAGGCGGCUGUCUGGUCUGUAACUGACGCUGAGGCUCGAAAGUAUGGGUAGCAAACAGGAUUAGAUACCCUGGUAGUCCAUACCGUAAACGAUGAAUGCUAAGUGUUGGAGGGUUUCCGCCCUUCAGUGCUGCAGCUAACGCAUUAAGCAUUCCGCCUGGGGAGUACGGCCGCAAGGCUGAAACUCAAAGGAAUUGACGGAGGCCCGCACAAGCGGUGGAGCAUGUGGUUUAAUUCGAAGCUACGCGAAGAACCUUACCAGGUCUUGACAUACUAUGCAAAUCUAAGAGAUUAGACGUUCCCUUCGGGGACAUGGAUACAGGUGGUGCAUGGUUGUCGUCAGCUCGUGUCGUGAGAUGUUGGGUUAAGUCCCGCAACGAGCGCAACCCUUAUUAUCAGUUGCCAGCAUUAAGUUGGGCACUCUGGUGAGACUGCCGGUGACAAACCGGAGGAAGGUGGGGAUGACGUCAAAUCAUCAUGCCCCUUAUGACCUGGGCUACACACGUGCUACAAUGGAUGGUACAACGAGUUGCGAACUCGCGAGAGUAAGCUAAUCUCUUAAAGCCAUUCUCAGUUCGGAUUGUAGGCUGCAACUCGCCUACAUGAAGUCGGAAUCGCUAGUAAUCGCGGAUCAGCAUGCCGCGGUGAAUACGUUCCCGGGCCUUGUACACACCGCCCGUCACACCAUGAGAGUUUGUAACACCCAAAGUCGGUGGGGUAACCUUUUAGGAACCAGCCGCCUAAGGUGGGACAGAUGAUUAGGGUGAAGU
rnacentral:rRNA from 1 species